rnacentral:ncRNA from 1 species
CCCUUGCACAGGCUUGUCGCCCCUGCGAUAGGCCGCGCCAGGCGGUUUAGGGAACACGGUGAGACACCGUGGCUGUGCCCGCAACUGUAGGCGGCGAGAGCGUCGUCCGUCCGGGGUCUGACGACUUCGGCGCCACUGGGCAACUGGGAAGGCGAGGACGGCGGUUUUUGACCCGCAAGCCAGGAAACCUGGCCGCCAACGUCGCUCGUCG